UACGUAGGGGGCAAGCGUUGUCCGGAAUCAUUGGGCGUAAAGCGCGUGUAGGCGGCUUGGUAAGUCUGCUCUGAAAUCCCGGGGCUCAACCCCGGAACUGCCCUUGAAACUGGAGAGUUAGAAUCUUGGAGAGGCGAGUGGAAUUCCGAGUGUAGAGGUGAAAUUCGUAGAUAUUCGGAAGAACACCAGUGGCGAAGGCGACUCGCUGGACAAGUAUUGACGCUGAGGUGCGAAAGCGUGGGGAGCAAACAGG
rnacentral:rRNA from 1 species